UAAAAGCGUCAACAACUUCAAUAUCAUUUUGCUUGGUUGAACAUAAUAACUUCAAAUGCACAAACUGUCUAAGUGUUCUAUGCUCUUGCGUAUUUAGCAUUUAUAAUAAAGAUAUUUUUGGUACACAACUUUUGCUUGGGAUUAUUACCUGAGAAGAGAAAUAAAUGUACGAAAAUUUAACAGUAUACGCAGUGGCAACCUUGAGGAGGAAGCUGCCUCCUCAUCCAGCUAAGAUCAACACAUAUUACGUAUUCAUGGUGUCCUGGUAGGCAACCGGCACGCAACUGUCACUUGAUAAUCUGGCUGCGAUGAUGGUGAUGAGGAUGCACGAGGUCUCCAGUCGCAUCCCAAUGAACCGCUCAGAGUAUCGCCAGUCCGACCACAAGUAACACAACUCCCCAGAGCUGUGUUACUUGUCAUUGGGCUGGCGGUCAUCGUCACAGUGGCUGUUUAUAGUUGGUGGAGAUGUGUCAGGACAAUAUCUGCAAGUUACUGGACAAGCUGCCUACAAUACAUCAUGGAAUUCCACAAGUAAAGCCUGCUUCUAUCCAAACUGGA